rnacentral:siRNA from 1 species
UGGAUUGAAGAUGUAAGCCUC